ensembl:rRNA 5S_rRNA 5S ribosomal RNA
AUUAGCAGCCAUAUCGCCCUGCAACUCACAACUGGCAACCCACUGAAGCUAAGCAGGUGUGAGCUUGGUCAGUACCUGAAUGGGAGACCUCCUGGGAAAAACUAAGGUUGCUGCUGGAA